rnacentral:rRNA from 1 species
GAUGAACGCUGGCGGCGUGCUUAACACAUGCAAGUCGAACGGAAAGACCCAAGCUUGCUUGGGUACUCGAGUGGCGAACGGGUGAGUAACACGUGGGUGAUCUGCCCUGCACUUCGGGAUAAGCCUGGGAAACUGGGUCUAAUACCGGAUAGGACCACAUUUUGGAUGGUGUGGUGGAAAGUUUUUCGGUGUGGGAUGAGCUCGCGGCCUAUCAGCUUGUUGGUGGGGUAAUGGCCUACCAAGGCGUCGACGGGUAGCCGGCCUGAGAGGGUGUACGGCCACAUUGGGACUGAGAUACGGCCCAGACUCCUACGGGAGGCAGCAGUGGGGAAUAUUGCACAAGGGGCGCAAGCCUGAUGCAGCGACGCCGCGGGGGGGAUGACGGCCUUCGGGUUGUAAACUCCUUUCGCUAGGGACGAAGCGUUAUGUGACGGUACCUGGAGAAGAAGCACCGGCUAGCUACGUG